CCCACCGGUCCGCCGAACAAGCAGACCAGGGACCGCAAGGUUCCUUGGGGUGAAGCACUGGUCACCACGACAGAGCCGGGCAACCUCUCCAGCCCGAACCCGACAGCUGACCUCGUGGGCGCUGAUGAGAGGACCU
rnacentral:sRNA from 1 species